rnacentral:rRNA from 1 species
AUACGUAGGGUGCGAGCGUUGUCCGGAAUUACUGGGCGUAAAGAGCUCGUAGGUGGUUUGUCGCGUCGUCUGUGAAAUUCCGGGGCUUAACUCCGGGCGUGCAGGCGAUACGGGCAUAACUUGAGUACUGUAGGGGAGACUGGAAUUCCUGGUGUAGCGGUGAAAUGCGCAGAUAUCAGGAGGAACACCGGUGGCGAAGGCGGGUCUCUGGGCAGUAACUGACGCUGAGGAGCGCAAGCAUGGGUAGCGAACAGGAUUAGAUACCCUGGUAGUCCAUGCCGUAAACGGUGGGCGCUAGGUGUAGGGGUCUUCCACGACUUCUGUGCCGUAGCUAACGCAUUAAGCGCCCCGCCUGGGGAGUACGGCCGCAAGGCUAAAACUCAAAUGAAUUGACGGGG